GAAAUGGGAAAAAUCUGAAGUAUUCCAGCCAUUAGUGCAACAACUAAUGAUUUAUGGAGAGAAUGGGGAGCACCUAGCACCAGGGUGGAAAGUGGACAGGGCUUUCAAACAACAUUAUUAAAUUCGUAUUUGUCAAAGUUACAGCUUGACAGUGUCACUGAUAGUCACCAAAAUAUAAAGGAGCCAUGAAUCUUGUACCACACUGUGCUUUGGUCCCAGUAGAGAGAAAGUUUCCAUGUCUUGCUUUGUAGGAGUGCAUUUUGGGUUGUGUGAGAAACGACAAUAUUGGUCCUACAGAACAGUCUCCAUGUGCAGAUGGAUGUCAUUCACAACGAAUAUUCUUUAACCACAGGCAAAUACAUGGAAUGGACGAUUCUCAAAAGCUCUGGCUCAUAUAUUUCAAGUUUUUUUGAAGAAAAUAUGUUAUCUACGGUAUGGAAGCUCAUGGAGACGUCUAGCAUGCUGAGUAAAUGAACGUGUCUGCUAUGGUUCCAAACCUAUAAGAUGGUGAUUCAGAAUAUGGAUAGUGAUGAAGGAGAAUAGUAGAUGAAGCUGGCUUCAAUUUUUGGUACUCGAGUGAUCUUGUUAAAUCUGCUGUUUGUGCGCUUAUGGACGGUAAAGCCUAGGAUGGACUGGCAUCAUAAAUGAAGGUCCAAACCUCCUGGACCUUCUUUGUUUAACUACAUAUCUUGCUAGGUCAGCCAGGUGUUCCAACAGAUCCAAAGAACUAACCAGAACACACGAGACACAAUCUAUAACAUGAGAAUGUAGUUCUAACUCACCUAUAUCUAUCGGAAGAAGUAUUCACGCAUCCCAAUCAAAGAGAGCUCUGUUAAGUUUCAAGUGGCAUCUUGAUCUGGCAUUGUAGUGUAAUUCUGCUAAAAUAACAUCUUAGAGUUAACUCAUGCAUUGUAGUGGGCUUGCCAAACCAUUUCUGACUCCCAUUCUGACCAUGAGAGUUUUCUUGUGCUUCCAGGAUCUAUUGGAGAACAACUUGGAGUAAUGUCGGUUAGUGCCGUUAGUGGAAAUCAAGCCCACAAUCAAUUUCUGACCCGUGACUCUUAAAACCUUGGGACUGAGUGAAAUUGUGGUUUCUUUGUGUUGUAAAUGUCUGAUAUUAAUAGUUCUUCACCAAUUAGAAUGGAACGAGUAUAAUGACAAGAAAAGGAGCAGGACUGGGUCAAGGAAGUAAACCUGGUAUUUGUCAAGUCUUGAUUAGGGAUUCCCAGGGUUGAAACAUUGGCUAAACAUCAACAAAUGCAAAUUUGUUUGAUUUGUACAUGGUUGAUAUUGAUAUUAUUGUAUUUAAUUGGUUUCACUGCUGAUUCCCGAAAAUUACUUUAAACUAUGGUUUUCUUCUGAUAAUUUUCCUUUCCUGGCUAAAUAAUCUUAUACUUUUCAGGAUUCCAUUUGUGUGUACGGUGGGCAAGAUGGAGCAGGGCAAGACAUGAUAAUUCAUUGUACUUUUUGGUGCACCAAACGUGGCCUUGGGUAGACAGACUGACAGGGCAGCAGACUAGACUGCUAGUACAUUUAGCGAGAGAUCGUCGGGUAUAUUGAGUAUACCUCAUUUUGCAUUUUGUACUGUAAUAUAUGUUCACUGUAUGUAUAUAGUGUUCUUAGUUUUGAGCAGUUGUAAAUUAAAA
rnacentral:misc_RNA from 1 species